UCAUGGGAUAGAGGUUGCGGUGAACAAAAGUAGCGCUGCCGAGGCUCGGAGCGGUCGAUGACGCAGCGGGAAAGGGUUCACCGCCGAAGUUUGCGGCGCGCUCCGGCGGCGCAAGCUGGGCCUGCGGCCGAACAGGCGCAGGACUGCCAUCACUUUUGGGUGAUGGAGCGCUAUCGCCAUU
rnacentral:ncRNA from 2 species